rnacentral:rRNA from 1 species
AGAGUUUGAUCCUGGCUCAGAGCGAACGCUGGCGGCAGGCUUAACACAUGCAAGUCGAGCGGGCGUAGCAAUACGUCAGCGGCAGACGGGUGAGUAACGCGUGGGAACGUACCUUUUGGUUCGGAACAACACAGGGAAACUUGUGCUAAUACCGGAUAAGCCCUUACGGGGAAAGAUUUAUCGCCGAAAGAUCGGCCCGCGUCUGAUUAGCUAGUUGGUGAGGUAAUGGCUCACCAAGGCGACGAUCAGUAGCUGGUCUGAGAGGAUGAUCAGCCACAUUGGGACUGAGACACGGCCCAAACUCCUACGGGAGGCAGCAGUGGGGAAUAUUGGACAAUGGGGGCAACCCUGAUCCAGCCAUGCCGCGUGAGUGAUGAAGGCCCUAGGGUUGUAAAGCUCUUUUGUGCGGGAAGAUAAUGACGUACCGCAAGAAAAGUCCCU